rnacentral:lncRNA from 10 species
CACAGGUGUCAGAGAACGCGAGAGGUUUCUGAAGGAGGUUUUUCUUCCCCCCUUGGAAGAUGAAUUGCAUUUUAUCAGUUAUCUCAGAGAAGCACUUUGAAAUGAAGUAAGGAAAUAAACAUGGCUCUACAUUUUUAAACAGAUGAUUUGUUACCAGACUAUGACCAUAAUGGAAAAAAAGCCAACUCCCUUGAGGUUUCUGAUGCCAAGGCAUGACUGCACAUUGAAUGUCAUCAGAGUUCUCCUGGCUGGUCGCAUUGGUGUGCCCCAUGGAAUGAUUGAGACUGGCCGGGAGACAUCAAGAGGUAUUAAUGUGUAUUUUGCAAGGAAGGUGCAGGAGCUGGGGCCUUACCUGCAGUUGCUGAUGGAUUUCUUAGUGAGAAAAAUGGUUACAUGUUCAUUGUGAAUCUGCAAAGCGGGGGCACUACUCAUUGUUGUCACUCACGGGUAGAAGAAGCCAAUGGAGGCUCGAUUUGGACAUGAACUUCCCAGGGACUAGAGAAUGCGGCGCUUAAAACUUCUGCUAAAUUAUGUGUUUCCUUUGUGCUUCCAUUUCUUUGGCCACAGCAAGUCACAUGACAUGAUAGGAAACACAACCCUCCCACAAAGCCAGUGGAGAACUGGAAUCUUUGCAAAUGGCCCUCAAGCCUGUCAUCUAUGUGCAUGGUAACAGGAGAGGGAAUUGGAAAGGUGAGUUAGGGGCUGCUUUCUGAAGUUGUGUUUGCAAAACACACAAACCAGUUUAAUAUGGUCAGGCUUUGUGUCCCUGCCCAAAUCUCAUCUUGAAUUGUAAUCCCCAGAUGUUGAGGGAGAGACCUGGUGGGAAGUGACUGAAUCAUGGGGGCAGUUGCCCCCCUGCUGUUCUCAUGAUAGUGAUGAGUUCUCAUGAGAUCUGAUGGUUUUAUAAGGCAGUUUUCCCUGCUCUUGCUAGCUCUUCUCUCUCCUGCUGCCAUGUGAAGAAGAUCCUUGCCUCCCCUUUGUCCUCCAUGAUUGUAAGUUUCCUGAGGUCUCCCCAUCCAUGUGGAACUGUGAGUCAAUAAAACCUCUUUCCUUUAUAAAUUUCCAGUCUUGGGUAGUUCUUUACAGCAGUGUGAAAAUGGACUAAUACAUAGUUUUACCUUUAUUUUGUUUCUGUGAGGUGUUUUUCAGUUGAAGGUAUUCAUGG